rnacentral:rRNA from 1 species
GACGAACGCUGGCGGCGUGCUUAACACAUGCAAGUCGAACGGAAAGGCCCUGCUUGCAGGGUACUCGAGUGGCGAACGGGUGAGUAACACGUGGGUGAUCUGCCCUGCACUUCGGGAUAAGCCUGGGAAACUGGGUCUAAUACCGGAUAGGAGCCAUCUUUAGUGUGAUGGUUGGAAAGUUUUUUCGGUGUAGGAUGAGCUCGCGGCCUAUCAGCUUGUUGGUGGGGUAAUGGCCUACCAAGGCGGCGACGGGGAGCCGGCCUGGGAGGGUGGACGGCCACAUUGGGACUGAGAUACGGCCCAGACUCCUACGGGAGGCAGCAGUGGGGAAUAUUGCACAAUGGGCGCAAGCCUGAUGCAGCGACGCCGCGUGGGGGAUGACGGCCUUCGGGUUGGAAACUCCUUUCGCUAGGGACGAAGCUUUUUGUGACGGUACCUAGAUAAGAAGCACCGGCUAACUACGUG